CAGGUGAUAUAAUAUAAUAACCCAUUAAUGGAAACCUUGGCUGAAAUGCAGCUGAUGCAAAGUCGGAUGAUGGGAGUAAGUCUACGUGUGAAGGCCAGUCGCUCUGUUGUAAAGCACAUCUGUGCGCCAAGGGCACUCGUGGAGCUUCCAACAGUUGCAGCCGUGGAAGAAGUAAAGGAGACGCUUGCAGAUAAAGGAGUGUUUUCCUCUCUGUUUCUAAGUUUCAGGAGCCUUUAGAGGUAGCUGUCUGGAGAGCUUUAGUGUUGAGGCCACCCAAGGCAGAGGCUCACAGAUGAGACUGGAGGCCACAGCAUCCCCCCAUUCCUCAAUCUUAUGACAACUAACUAGCAAGAAAUUUCUGUAAAAAAAAUUAUUAUAUAAAAAAGAUACAUGCACUUGUAUGUUUAUUCCAGUACUGUUCAAACUAAGU